CGAUGAACCACUUCGGUGGGGAUUAGUGGCGAACGGGUGAGUAACACGUGGGCAAUCUGCCCUGCACUCUGGGACAAGCCCUGGAAACGGGGUCUAAUACCGGAUACGAGUCUCCAAGGCAUCUUGGAGACUGUAAAGCUCCGGCGGUGCAGGAUGAGCCCGCGGCCUAUCAGCUUGUUGGUGAGGUAAUGGCUCACCAAGGCGACGACGGGUAGCCGGCCUGAGAGGGCGACCGGCCACACUGGGACUGAGACACGGCCCAGACUCCUACGGGAGGCAGCAGUGGGGAAUAUUGCACAAUGGGCGAAAGCCUGAUGCAGCGACGCCGCGUGAGGGAUGACGGCCUUCGGGUUGUAAACCUCUUUCAGCAGGGAAGAAGCGAAAGUGACGGUACCUGCAGAAGAAGCGCCGGCUAACUACGUGCCAGCAGCCGCGGUAAUACGUAGGGCGCGAGCGUUGUCCGGAAUUAUUGGGCGUAAAGAGCUCGUAGGCGGCUUGUCACGUCGGUUGUGAAAGCCCGGGGCUUAACCCCGGGUCUGCAGUCGAUACGGGCAGGCUAGAGUUCGGUAGGGGAGAUCGGAAUUCCUGGUGUAGCGGUGAAAUGCGCAGAUAUCAGGAGGAACACCGGUGGCGAAGGCGGAUCUCUGGGCCGAUACUGACGCUGAGGAGCGAAAGCGUGGGGAGCGAACAGGAUUAGAUACCCUGGUAGUCCACGCCGUAAACGGUGGGCACUAGGUGUGGGCAACAUUCCACGUUGUCCGUGCCGCAGCUAACGCAUUAAGUGCCCCGCCUGGGGAGUAC
rnacentral:rRNA from 1 species